ACUUCAAUUUUAAUCUGGAUAACGCCAAAGCUUUUCCUCAAAUUCACCCCUGGAGUCAGCUCAUAGAUGCUCUGAUUUUGUCUACCAUUGCUCCUCCUUAAUAUCUCUCGCACAGGUGCCAUUGACCUUUAGAUGGGCUGUACGGUGUGGGGUUCGGUGCCAUGGAUCUGCUUCUCCAGGGACCAGGAUCUUGAGAUCUUCAGGCUGGGUUUCCAUGGAGGCAUGGAGCUGCUUUUCCUCCUUCAUAACUGCACUCAAAACAGCCCUGUUGCUCUAGAAUGGAGACUUGGGCAACUCCUUCUGGCACAGAUUUGUUCACCUCAGGUGAAAUUCAGAUAGAAGCAAGCUGCAGGCAGUUUCACCUCUAAGUCCAUGGGUUCUCAACUGGUAACGUCCUCUUAUGGAUGUUAGCCCAUGAGGUCAAUCCUGUAGCAAUCUAAGGCUUGAGAAAAAUUAAUCUUCUGGAAAAUUCCAAGAAUACAUCUUAGGGAAACUGGCUCUACCUUUAUGACUUGGAUCACACAAGGAUAUGCUUUUCAUCUUGGACUAGAACUGAGAGCCAAUGGAUGUGUUAUCUAAAACUAUCCCAGUGUGUUCACUAUACAGAGGAAGAUUCUGAGAUUCAAGACUCAAGACUGAAGAAGAUCAUUAUUUUUAUUAUUUUAGUCUUAUGCACAAAAUGAUAUCUACUGAAUAAGCAGGUUUUUAAUAGGUGACUUAUAUAUGUUAGCAAAAAUAAACACUUUGUCUUUUAGAUCUAUUCUAGUUUUUCAGUAGCUGUAGACUUAAGUGCUAACUUUUAGCCCAUAGGAUAAGAAGAAACCAAGUCCUAAAAGUAGGCCAGCACCAGGGUUCAGGCCUCUGACUUCAAGCCAAGGGCUCAUCAUCUUGAAUUGCGCACGAAUUUUUACACAGCGCCAAAGGAAACUGCCUGUACUUACUGUUGUAGGUGCUUUGCUGGAUUCAGGAUGCAGACAAGGUCCACGCAUUGUGGUUGGGUGAGGUGUCUUUUAGGUCUCUUUUAAUCUGUAAUACUUCUCCCUCUCUUUUAAAAAUGCAUUUAUUUGUUGAAAAAACUUGGUCAUGGGUCAUUUUUCUGUACAGUGGAUUAUGUUCUGGAUUUAGCUAAAUGCCCUCUUGUUGAAGAUUUAUCUUCCAUGCUUCCUGCAGGUGGUUAUAUCCAAUGCUUGAUUAAACUCACAUUUUUUUUUUUUGGCAAAGCCA
ensembl:lncRNA LINC00840 long intergenic non-protein coding RNA 840